GGAAGCCGGUGAGAUACCGGCACGGUCGCGCCACUGUGACCACGCUUGCGUGGAAGUCAGAC
rnacentral:ncRNA from 2 species